rnacentral:lncRNA from 1 species
AAACCGAUUGGUACUUAAACCCUUUAGCUAGCUUAGUACAAGUAAAAACCAGAAAGCAUAGUAUAGUAGUAUUAAACGGUUAAAACCAUUAUAAGCACUUAAACGGUUAAAUCUAUCAAGUUAAGUUUUAAUACUAACCGGUACAUGCUUGUUCUAAUGUCAAGCGACUUGGGUCAAAUCUACUGGGAACAAAAAGAAAUCGCGCAUCCUGUCUGCUAAAACUUGGGAUAGGUCAAGCUCUAAUACGCAAUAUUAGUGGAGGAAAACCAGCCAUACACUAUAAGUAAACCUAAUCA